GAUGGAUGAAUCCAGGACCAAGGUGCUGGAUUACGCGAUGAAUACUGCCGGAUGAAAAUCAGCUGCAGCUCCCUUAUACAUUGAUCAGUAAAUGCUAGAUGAUGAUCCACAUGUAAACCAAUGGCGCUGAUAAGCAUACCACUGAACGUCAUGCAUCAAAGAAGCUUUUCGGUAUGUUCCUCCUUCUCUCGUUACCUCCACGGCUCCACCCACAAACCCUAGCCCCCCAAAUCCCAUAGUCGAUGCACUUCUCCCUCCCUCGUCAGACAGCCGCCACAUCCCUCCCUCGUCUCUCCCUCGUCAACACAGCCACGCCUCCAACCUCCCUUCCUCGUUACCACGGCAAACCAGCUCCCAUGGCGGCGACAGGGGCGAGGCGGGCGCGGGGGCUGCGGGCGGAAGCAACAGGGGUUGAUGGAGGGUCGGGGAGGGGCGGUUGUAGGCGGGUUCGGCGGUUGGGGGCGAGCACCGGACAGGCAGAGGGAGCGUCUUGGUCGAGGGACAGCGAGGCUCGUCGGCUGGGCGACUUCGAGCGCUGGACAGGCAGAGGGAACGACUUGGUCGAGGGACGGCGAGGCUCGCUGGCUUGGCGACGCGAGUGCCAGACAGUCAGAGGGGCUUGGCCGAGGGAUCAAGGAUUCGUGCAACUCUUCCAAUAGGAGGAUAGAACACAUGCACAAAACUUCGAAAGCCACAAAACCUGGGCGGAAAUCAUGGACUACACGUUGGUCAAUAUUGUGCAGGCAACCAGUUGCCACAAUCGAACACAAUAAGCAUCACGGGAGCCUCCUCGUCGUCGGCGAUUCUCCGGCGCCUUUGUCUGGUCAUCUCUGGCUCCUGCCGUGCUCUCUGGUGCUCCUUUGCCUCAUGGAUGGCGCUCCCAUGCCUCGGACGCACGCCCCCUCUCCCCCGAGCUCCAGAUGGGAAGCAGCGGCCCCCCCUCUCCCCCGAGCUCGGGAUCCAUUGCAGCAACGGCAAGGCAGUGAAAGUUUGCAGUCGAUGCCAUCUAAGUAGGAUUCUGGGUUGAUUUCAGAGGAGAUCAAUUAUUGUGAGAAGAUGAAGAAGCUGAGAGUUGAUACGGACUAUUUGUGAAAGCAAGUUUAGGAGCUCAAAGCCAACAACAAGUCAACAACCAAGGCUUUGAAAAAGACAUCGACCCGCGACACCGGUAAGGCCACAACAUCCAUUACUGCUAUGACUGUUGACUGAGGUGGGAAAGCAUGGAGCCUUCCUUCUACUGGUAUAGUUUGGUUUUCUUAUGCCCAUAGUUUUUUUUAGUCAUGUUCGUGUGGAGGAUGGAGUCAACGCUAGGCACAUGGUUGAUGGAGAAGGACAAGAGGAUGAAGCUCUGACUUGCUUUUCCUAUGAUUUGUUGAGCCAAUAUAUCGAGGCUUUCCUUUGCUGUUGAAAUCUCUAUAGAAUUUCAUAGAAGUAAUGCAUGUCCAGAUGAUUGGUCGGAGUAUGCAUAUCUUUGGACCCUUCCUCCUUGCGGGCCUCUCCACUAAAGACUGGGAGGCAAGAACCAGCGCCACCGCCAUGUCUGUUGGUGAUGCUCACGCUGGAAACCAGAGGUAGCAUCUUGGUCUUGUCCAUGCGAGCACCACAUCUCUGACAAUGCUGCCGCGACCAGAGGGCGGCGAGCUGAUCCCCCAUGGCUCCUCGCCGACGUAUGACAACACCCACCUCCAUGCUAAUCGAGCUUUUUGACUUGUCCAGCAUGAUCUGAGACGCCGUCUCCACUUCAGUUCAUUGGAGAUUGUAAUAUUGAUCUUAGUUCAGUUCAGUCUAUUAUGUGACCUCACUUUGUUAUCUAUGAUUUCCUUCAUUUCUUUGUUUUGGCACAUGUCCAUUAAUUUGUAUAGUGGAGCGGAUGACCAAAUUAUUGGAACCUUCCCAUGCUUUCCAGGGAAGUUGUUUGUUAGCUCUGCCCCAAACGUUGACAAGCCAGAUUUGGGCUUAUUUCUUCAGCUUUGCUGCACUGCAGCCUGAUAGUAUUUUUUUGUUGCUUGAUGCUUCAUUUUCCUACUUCUUCCUCUUAAUGUGACCUUUUGAUGCAGGGUGAUGUUUCUUUAUAUGCCCCUCGAGGGAUGAGGCCGGCAAGCCGGUGAAUGCUUAUCACAACAAGCACAUGCUGUCGGGUUUGUUGGGUAUGCUUCCAGGAACAUGGGCUUAUGUUAGUGCUGGUGCAUUUGGGAGAUCUAUAAUUGCUGCAAAGAAUCUUGUAGCUGUGGCGGCGGCCACACUUUCAGUUCCUGCUUUCAGGGCACCUACUACAAAUAUACCUUCUGGAUCAGAGUCCUCCCAUCUGGGCACUGCAGUCGUCCUUGCACCGUCACACACAGCGUCGGAGACACGAACGAGGUCGAGCAGUCCGUGUCUUCGUCCUCUUCCCUUGGCGUGUGGAACCUGAUAUAAACAAGAGGCCAAACAAUAUGUGGCAUCUUCAUCGUCGUCCUCUCGUGUGGCACCGGAGAGAUGGACAAGGAGGCCAAUAGCUGGAAGUGCGGCAGACUGUAAUGCUUUGGUUGAUGAGGAAUUAUCUUUGUACAUAGUGGUUUGUUUGAUGGGACCCAUCUGGCACCGCCGAGCUUCCGCUCAAGCGGCGUGCCAUGGGGGCGCCCCAACCUCUAGUGUGUGUGUAUAUAUAUAUAUAUAUAUAUAUAUAUAUAUAUAUAUAUAUAUAUAGCAGGAGUCUCGGUGCUUGCUUUAUUAGGGUUCCUCUCUUUCACUCUCAUGCUCUCCAGAUCUAAAAAAUGCAUAGGUGGCCACACACACUCUUUCUCUGCUCAUGGCUGGUCACAAAUCCGGCGUAACCACCUCGACCAGGGAAGGGGUGUAGGUGCGUCGUCCAUGCAGUCGUCGACGGUGAGGGAGGAGACCAACAGCUGCCCGCGUGUUCUGAUCGACGGCCGUGCCAUUCUCUCCGAGAUAGCGUCGGAUCGGGAGGGCCUUCGACCCCUUCUUCCUCCCCGUGGUAUUGUGGCCAAGAUGCGGCCUCCAGACGUCGUCUUUGCCACGUGCCGACGACCCUCGGGUAUAUAUUCCUUCGAAACCGACCUUUCUCUACUGCCUCAGUUCCUCACGUGGCUGCGUGUGCAUAUUUUUCUACUCCCGUCGACUAUUCACGUGGCUGCGUGUGCAUAUUUUUCUACUCCCGUCGACUAUUCCAAAGCCACGUAGACUUUUACUAUUAUUAGAGGUAGUUCAUACAGUCGAAUUUAAGGGUUGAUUCAAAUAGGGAAGAAAGUGGGAAAUCUAUAACAUGAAUUUAGGACAUGAUUCUAAGAGGAAAUGGGGAAAUGUAGCAUGAAUCUAGGACAUGAUUCUAAGAGGAAAUGGGGAGAAAGUAAUGGAUACUGGCUACCCAACUGCUCCCUUGGUUGAAAAGGUGAAGAAAGCAUGGUGGAUGGCGAAGAGUGGGGGAAGUGGACCUGUCUCUUUGGUUGAAAAAAGGAAAGGAAGUGAGGGGCGUUGGGGGACAACACAAAUGAGAACGAGCAGCUCUAGAUUUCCUGUGCUCACAUAGGAAAAUGUCACCGAGGAGAUAAAAAAUGGGACAAAUGCAGACAUGCUGCCUGAGUGUUUGCUGCUUUGGGCAACCACAUUUGCCUCACCAAUUUAUGCCCCUGCUAUCCCUACGCCUAUAUCGCUACCGUUAAUGUAAAAUCACAUAAACUAUUAAGCAAUGCCACCUAAUGUCACUAUUAAGUAAUGGUCUAGUGCUGUCGAUAAAUUGAAGCAAUGCCACCACCAUUUUAUUUCCCAUGAAUUGUGUUUUUGUAGUCACACUUAAAUCUCACACCGCUAGCAUUGCUUCAUCCCAGUGGAACUGCAAAAUUUUGAUUGCACAUUUUAUGACCAUGUGCUAUUCUCAUGACAGUAAUAUUAAUGCUACUGUUCUGCAUGUUAAUCUAGUGACAGUGUUGAUGUGAUGUGAUGCUACUUCUUACUUAAGGGCAUUUUCAUACUGUCAAUGUAGUGCCAAUUAUAACACAAUAGAUGCUGAUGUUAAUCAUAUGCCACUGCAAAUAACUGUCACUAUUUAAAUAACCGUAUUUCAUAUUUGCGGAAACAAGGAUGUGUGUCUCCAUAUCGUUUCUAUCAGCGCAAUCAAAAGUACACACCUCCGUUUUAGUAGAACUGCACAAAAUGAGAUGGCUAUUCCUAGCUGCCGUUGCCUAACCACCUAUCUUCCAGGUAUUCCUACAUAGGUAGUGACUAGGUAGAAUGGCCAACGCAAUCUGAAAGAAGCUGAAUCAUACAUUUUACUUCCUAACUGCAGUGCAGGGACGAGCGAAAACAAUUGUAUCCUAGUCGGGAAUGCACUUUCUCCCAAUUCAUCCAUGGACGGAGGACUAGCUAGCAUGGCUGCAUGAAGGUUUUUGGGACAGGUGCACGAACAAAAGGCAUUAUGGUCUGCUUAUUUCUGCAAAUAGCAGUGCUUAAAUUUAGUAGAACUGCACAAAAAGUUUAGAUGUUCAAUACACUACAUGGUUCAGUUCAGCAUUCCAAUUAAGAACACAAUUAUAAUUGGUUAUUUUGAAAUGAAAGAACCUAACCUUGGAUGGUGGCAAUAUUCCAACUAAGAACACAAUUAUAAUUGGUUAUUUUGAAAUGAAAGAACCUAACCUUGGAUGGUGGCAACAAGAAAAACCAGAGUGAACUCCAGGAAAGUAAAGCCUGCCUAGGGAGGCCCUUUGCUCAGAGAAGCAUUGCUUGAUUUUUUUCUGAUUUGUAAACCUUUUCACAACUUUGUCUUUUGCUAUGAACUAGUAAAUAUUUGUUAUGUUCUAUGAAUCAUUGAGAUGUAUAAAAUUUCUUAACUUAUGCUUUUCAAGUAUUUUAUGAAGCUGAGUUUAAUGUGCAUGUUC